AGUGACCAACUGCACGGACGGCGGGAUGCUCCGUGUCUUAACCGGGGUCCUGGGCUGCCUGCAGGCCUUGAAAGUGCUGAAAAUUGCUGCGAGUCUGGGCCCCUCUUACAGUGGCAGCCUGUUGCUCUUUGAUGCCCUGAGAGGGCAUUUCCGCUGUAUUCGGCUGCGGAGCUGCAGGCUCGACUGUGCAGCUUGCGGGCAAUGGCCCACUGUGACUCAUCUGCUGGACUGUGAAGCCUUCUGUGGCUCCUCAGCCACCGAUAAAUGCCGCUCCCUGCAGUUACUGAGCCCAGAGGAUCGUGUUUCUGUCACUGACUAUAAGUGACUUCUGGGUUCUGGGGCACCCCAUCUGUUGCUGGACAUCAGGCCUAAGAUGGAGAAAAAUUUGCUGACCCCUGAUCUAGAAUGUGGAAGCAGCAUGAAAUGAAGAGGAAUUUAAGGAGACAGCAUUGUUUUUAGAAUUUUCUUUACAUUGUCUACAGUCACUCCUGAAGCCAUUGGCUUCUUGUCUGCUGUUGGGGUCUUUAUUGUUCUUCUGGCCGUCCUCUUCCUCUUCAUCAACAAGAAGCUGUGUUUUGAAACGAUAGGAGGCCUUCCUUUCCUGGAGCAUCGAGGGAAAAGAAAGCAUUCUAAAGACAAGACUGGGAUUCACAAGGGGCUGGGU
rnacentral:sRNA from 1 species